rnacentral:rRNA from 1 species
UACGUAGGUGGCAAGCGUUUGUCCGGAUUUAUUGGGUUUAAAGGGUGCGUAGGCGGCCCUGUAAGUCAGUGCUGAAAUCCCCCGGCUUAACCGGGGUGGUGGCAUUGAUACUGCAGGGCUUGAGUACAGAUGAGGUAGGCGGAAUUGACGGUGUAGCGGUGAAAUGCAUAGAUAUCGUCAAGAACACCGAUAGCGAAGGCAGCUUACUGGGCUGUAACUGACGCUGAUGCACGAAAGUGUGGGGAUCAAACAGG